GCAGGGGGAGGGCAGUAUGCCGGCCCCACCGGGCUUCAGGCAGCUGUUUCACGUUAACGAUGAUUGCACUGGUGUUAGCUGGAGCGUUUUGGUGCUUGGCGCACGCUGCCAAAAGGGAUGAGGAACAGUUUCAAAGUUCUCCCAGAUGCCCGGCCCUUGGCUGAGGGCCUCAGCAGUGGGGGAGGGGAAACCCGAGGCCAAGGAGGGCUCUCCAGCAAGGACCCUGCAGGCUCGCUGGCCUCUUCACCAUAAAGAAUGUGCAAUGGGGAGGAAAAGUCUAAAAUGUGGUGCUGUUCAGGCCAGGCUGCGUUUCCAAGGCCUUGCUUCCACUUCAUUCCAAAACUUAACUUUCCUUAAACAAGUACUUUUGAGCAACUGGAAUGUUCGACUUCUUUUGGGGCUCAUGCCCACAGGAUUGGAAUGCCUUGAAGAUCCUCAAAGUGACUCUUUAUGGAGCCCCUAUUAUGCACUAAAGCUUUAUGUAUGUUAAUAACAGCCUUUAUAUCUACUACACAAGACUGAGGGACUACUACUGCCCCUGUUUCAAAGAUAAGGAAACCGAGCUCAGAGAAGUUAUAUGCCCCAGGCCAAGCGGCUGGGGAAAGGCUGAAGUAGAAUUCAAAGGAACCUGAGCUGUUGCUCCUUCAGAUCGCCCCAGGCUGCAGCUCUGACUCCUCUCUCCCUGCCUCCCUCCCACACUGUCUGUAAACUCAGAUUUCCACAUCUGUGCUUUAAAAACACAAUUACUUCAAGCCAUUCUUUGCUCAAAAUCCUCUGAGAAUAAAAUCUAAAAUCUUAGCAAGGCCAACCUAUGAA